rnacentral:rRNA from 1 species
UGGGGAAUUUUGGACAAUGGGGGAAACCCUGAUCCAGCCAUGCCGCGUGCGGGAAGAAGGCCUUCGGGUUGUAAACCGCUUUUGGCAGGAACGAAACGGCGCGGGUGAAUAUCCCGCGCUAAUGACGGUACCUGCAGAAUAAGCACCGGCUAACUACGUGCCAGCAGCCGCGGUAAUACGUAGGGUGCGAGCGUUAAUCGGAAUUACUGGGCGUAAAGCGUACGCAGGCGGCUGUGCAAGACAGAUGUGA